rnacentral:rRNA from 1 species
GCUUAGCCGUAACUUAGACAUCAAACUACAAUUAGAUGUCCGCCAGGGUACUACGAGCAUUAGCUUAAAACCCAAAGGACCUGACGGUGUCUCAGAUCCCCCUAGAGGAGCCUGUUCUAGAACCGAUAACCCCCGUUAAACCUCACCACUUCUAGCCACCCCAGCCUAUAUACCGCCGUCGUCAGCUUACCCUGUGAAGGUAAUAAAAGUAAGCAAAAUGGGUACAACCCAGAACGUCAGGUCGAGGUGUAGCGCAUGAAGUGGAAAGAAAUGGGCUACAUUUUCUGCCACAGAAUAUUACGAACAUGCACCAUGAAAUAAUGCUUGAAGGAGGAUUUAGUAGUAAAAAGGAAAUAGAGUGUCCUUUUGAACCCGGCUCUGAGACGCGUACACACCGCCCGUCACCCUCUGCAGUCAACAACACACCG